GACAGAUGGCGCAGGCGUUAUUCGGUAUAACUGGGUGUAAAAGGUACGUAGGUGGAUAUAAAACCUCUAAUAAAAGAGCAGGGUAUUCCCACGCGUUGUUGGAGACUUUACAUAUCUUGUGUUGUUUAUAGGUUGGGGGAAUUCGUGCGACGAGGAGUGGAAUCUUACGAGCCGUGGACGAUCGCCAAGGCGAAGGCACCUUCUAGAGACGACAGACGCUGAG
rnacentral:rRNA from 1 species